AAACUAUUGUAGUAAAGUAUUACAAAAUUUUCUUUUUCCAUUUCCUUUACAAUGUCUACUUAUUUCUAUGGCUAACAGAUUUUGUAACAUUUGUAUUUUUUACAGUCUUACCAUUGCUUGUAAGCUGGAUUGGGUAAAAUGGAUCAUCUUUAAAGGCACCAGGAGUUAAGGCAGAUGUGGAGGCACAACGGGUGAUACCAGACACACACCAAGCACAUUAUGUUCGGACAUUCAAUCAUGACAGGAUCCAGGUGGAUGCUGUCCAUUGAGAAAAGAGUUUGUUCAGCGGUUUCUGGAUAGAAUUAAUUCCAAAGAUGGGAAAAAGUGCACAUCCAGACAAGGAGCAAGCAAAAAGACAAGGAACUUGGUGCAGAGAAAAGCUGUGGCCAUUAACCCCCAUGUGAACAGCUUCAUGCAGUCCCUGAUUGAGUUCGAAUGGACGACUUCAAAGUAAAGGCCACUGUGGUCUGUCUGCCACAGUUUAAUGCAUUUAUUUUUAGUGUUAAAUGAAAUUCAAGUAGAAUAUUUAAAACUAUGGGCCAGUGUUGUUUUUACCACAGUGAAAUGUUACCUUUUAGUUGAUGAUGGACUUUAAACUGAAAACUUCAAACUAUGGAACAGUGUUCUAUUUGCCAGAGUUAAAUAUGUUACAGCAGGGGU